rnacentral:lncRNA from 1 species
CCAUGAUAUCCUCAUCGGGGAAAUCAAACUUCAAUGGUUGGUAGUCUUUAACUAGUUGGUGAGCGAGAUACUCUGCUAACACACUUCCCUUGAUUGCCUUCUGGGUCACAUAUUGGAUGUCAUACUCAGACAAAAGCAUCUGCCAACGGGCUAGUCUUCCAGUCAAGGCAGUUUUCUCAAAGAUAUACUUUAUUGGAUCCAUUUUCGAGAUCAACAAAGUAGUAUGACAAAUCAUAUACUGCCUUAAACAACGAGCGGCCCAUGCUAGCGCGCAACAAGUUUUCUCCAAAAGUGAAUAUCGACUUUCAGAAUCGGUAAACUUUUUGCUCAGAUAGUAAAUAAUGUGUUCUUUCUGACCAGUUUCGUCAUGUUGCCCCAGCACACACCCCAUUGACUCUUCAAGCACAGUUAGAUACAUGAUUAAUGGUUUUCCUGGGACAGGUGGAAUCAGAAUAAGAGGCUCUUGCAAGUAUUGACGAAUCUUCUCAAAAGCUUUUUGACAAUCAGAAUUCCAUUCAAUAGCUUGAUCGUUUUGAAGCAAUUUGAAGAUAGGCUCACACGUGGCCUUCAUAUGUGAGAUAAACCUUGAGAUGUAAUUCAAACAUCCAAGGACACCUCUAACUUCUCGCUCGGUGCAUGGAGCAGGCAUUUCUUGUAUAGCUCAGACCUUGUCAGGGUCCACCACAAUUCCUCGUUGACUAACGAUGAAACCAAGCGACUUCCCUAAAGGGACCCCAAAUGUGCAUAUUUGCAGGGUUUAACCGUAGCCUAAACUUUCUGAGGCAUUCAAACAACUUCUUCAUAUGGUUCAUAUGAUCUUCUUUAUUCUGAGAUUUAGCGAUCAUGUCAUCGACAUAGACCUCUAUCUGCUUGUGCAUCAUAUCAUGGAAAAGAGUGACCAUAGCUCUUUCGUAAGUUGCCCCGACAUUUUUGAUAUCUAAAGGCAUCACCUUGUAGCAAAACGUGCCCCAAGGGGUAAUAAAAGCGGUCUUCUCCAUGUCAUCCAGAGCCAUCUUGAUUUGAUUAUAUCCAGAAAAUCCAUCCAUAAAUGAGAAUAUAGCAAAACUUGCAGUCUUGUCUAGCAGAGUAUCAAUCUGUGGUAAGGGGAAAUCAUCCUUCGUACUAGCUUUGUUUAGAUCCCUAUAGUCAACACAUAUUCUCACCUUACCAUCCUUCUUAGGCACAAGUACAAUAUUAGCUACCCAUUGUAGGUACUUCGCCACUGCGAGGAAACCAGCAUCAAAUUGUAGUUUGACUUCUUCACGAAUCUUCAAAGCCAUAUCUGGUCUUGUUCUUCGGAGUUUCUAUUUUACUGGCGGCCAAUCCGGCUAAAGCGGUAGCUUGUGUUCAACGAUGUCAGUGUCUAGGCCUGGCAUAUCCUGGUAUGACCAUGCAAAUACAUCCACAUAUUCUUGUAGCAGCUUGACCAAUCUCUUUUUUACGCUUUCUUCAAGUGUGGUCCCGACUUUGACUUCUUUCUUCUCUUCCUUUGUGCCAAGGUUGAUUGUUUCCACCAGUUCUUUAUCUGGCUGAAGGGCUUUAGACUCGUGCUCGAGUAGCCUUGCCAAUUCGUCGGGGAUGUAACAAUCUUCUUCACCCUCUUCUCCCGCUUGGUAGAUAUGGGAGUCAAAGUUAUGAGAGGGAGUAGAGUCAUCGGAUUCAAUGGGGUUAUCAUUUAUUCAGCAUGUUUGAAUGAUUGAUUUUUUUAGAAAAGUAAAAAUAAAAGAUGCACAAAUGGAAAAAAAAACUUGUUUUUGAAAAGAUUGUCAUUUUCUUAAGAGAAAACAAAUAAAUGAAUAAUAAGAAUUUAACAAAAUGCCUUUUAUUCACUGAUAAUGAUUAUUUGAAAAUGAAAAGGGGCCCUACAACAUGAUCCAUUAGCCUUGGGCAAAGCUAAGGAUUUGAAAGGAAAAACAACAAUUAUUACUUUGACAAAGGGAAAAUUUCAGGGAUCUCAACUGCCUUCCAAUUGUCCAAAGCUGUCUCACACCGGUAAACCAAACAUGGCUCAUCUUUAUCUUCGGUGUUGUCUUCAAUUGCAUUAACCUGAUAUCCAUGGAUAAAUCCUGUACUGAGGAAUACUUCCUGGAUGCUUCGGGUGUUGUCCUUUGUAGGGACCCAAUCUCCUUUCUCAGCGGAAGGCACAUAUCCCAGACCGAAACAAUCAUGCUUUUCACGAACAUCAAUAAGCUGACCCUAACCUUUAGGGUUUCCUCCUUCAAUGCUAGACUUUGCGCUUUUCAGAGAAGCGAAAGAUGAACAAGCUUUCUCAACAGGGUCCUUCAUCUCCAUAAAAGUGGCGCUGGCUAUUUCAAGAGCUUGGAAAGAAGUUUCUAAGGCGUCCUCAUCAGCCUCGAUAUAUCUGAAAGAUGAAAGGUGACUGACCAUAAAGUCAUCAUCUCCAUAAAUAAUGAUCAGUUGAUUGUCCACUACAAACUUCAUUUUCUGAUGUAAAGUGGAGGUAACUGCCCCUAUAACAUGAAUCCAGGGACACCCCCAAUAAGCAGUUAUACGUCGGAUUAAUAUCCAUGAUUUGGAAAGUAAUCGGGAAUAUGUAAGGGCCAAUCAAUAUGGGCAGUUCUACUUCUCCAAUCACGAUUCUCCGAGAACCAUCAAAAGCUUUCACUAUCAAGGCACUGGGCUUCAUGGCUGGUCCUUGAUAAGACAACUUGGCGAGUGUUCUCUUUGGCAUCAUAUUCAAAGAAGAUCCGGUAUCAACCAAAACUCUUGCCAAAGAAUUAUCUUUGCACUUCACAGAGAUAUGGAGAGCACGAUUAUGAUUUUGUCCAUCCUCAGGUAAUUCCUCUCCGCUAAAGCUUAAAGUAUUGCAAGUUGUGAUGUUUGUAACCACCCCAUCAAAUUGGUCUACUGUUAUGGUUUGUGGUACAUGAGCUUGGGCAAGCACCUUCAACAAAGCCUCCAUAUGGGCUUGGGAGUUCAAAAGUAGAGACAAAAUAGAAAUCUUAGAUGGUGUCUGAUGCAGCUGAUCCACAACUCUGUAGUCACUUCUCUUGAUCAACUUUAAGGAUUCAACAACAUCUUUAGAUCGGACCACUUCGGGUUCUUUAGUAGGAGCUAUGACUUUAAAUUCCUUGGUUGGCACUUGAGGAGUCACAUUGAAUUCAGGCGUAUAAAUUCGACCACUACGGGUCAUUCUGCUCAUUCCUGCAAUAUUGGUGACAUCCUCAUUCGCAGUUUCUAUCACUUCACCGUCCUCACUUCCUUCAACGAUCUAGUCCAUAGCGGUAAUCUCAUAUUUCCAAGGCAUAUCCUUGGUGCUUUCAUAUGGAAACGGCGUAGGCAUACAGAUCUCAACAGGUGACGAAUGACUAUUCGUAGGCACCACUCUACUACUAUAGUAAGGAAUUUCAACCGGUUCAGGUAAAUUGAAACAAGGUUCAAUUACUGACACGUCUUCAUUCUUUGUAAUACUGGAGAUUUGAAGUACUCAUUUGUUCAUCAAGUCUUGAAUAUUAUCUCGUACCAUCUGACACCCCCUUGGGUGUGUGACACAUUCUUCACAGCUCUCAUGACAAACAUCAAUCAGGUCAGCUUCCACCAAUCGGGCGUGGAAUGCUGCCAAAGGAGUCUUAACAUCAUCAACCUUCUCAACCACAACACCAUCAGAGGCAUCUUCAAUCGCGUUCACUGUAGGGUCUCCAUGGGGGGGGGAGAGGAUUAUUCUUCACAUUUGGUCCCAUAUCCCUAAAAGACAGAAUCUUGCUAUCAAUCAGUUCACGAACCCUAUGUUUCAAAGCAUAAUAACCCUCUAGGUCAUGCCCGGGGGCACCCUCAUGAAAAGGACAAUGUGCAUUAGGAUUGUACAAUGGAGGCAAACGAUCAGGUGGAGGUCCCAUAGGUCUAGGAACCACCAAACUUUUUUGUAACAGAGAGGGAUAAAGCUCAGUAUAUGACAUUGGAAUUGGAUUGAAGGUUGCCCUAUCCCCCUGCCUCCUGUUUUGAUUUGAAGCAUUUUGUCUUAGAGCCUGAGCUCUCGGCUGUUGAUAGGCAGGAGCCGCUGGUGCUUGCUGAUAAACUGGGGGAGCAGGAGCACGUUGUUGAGCUGGAGUUGGGCCAUAAACUGGAGCUGGUUGAUAAACUGAAGCUGGUUGAUAAAUUGGAGUUGGUUGAUAAGUCUGAGCAGGUUGUUGAUUGAAGGCGGGUGCCACAUCGGCUAUGUAUGGUGGUGGGGCGUACUGAACGGGAUAUAUAGGCUGCUGAUAUGGAAAAUGUUGUUGAACAUACUGCUGUUGUAAAUAUUGUUGUUAUCUUCUUCUUAGAGGGGCUCUUCCUUGGCCAAUAGACACAACAUUAGUUUCACCUUCUUUCUUUUUGGGAAACCCUCCAGAGAACUUCUUCGGAUUAGCACUUGAAGUUCUGGCCACAUCUACAAGUUUACCAUUUCUUAAGUCAUACUCAACACGAGCUCCUAUAGCAACAAGCUCGAAGAAUCCCAAGGAAGCACUUCCAACCAUAUUCUCAUAGAAUUGGGGUUGGACAUUGUCGAUGAAUAGUUCAACAAGUUCCUUUUCGGUAAGAGGUGGUUCAACUUGAGAAUCAAGUUCCCUCCAUCUCUGAGCAUAUUCCUUGAAGGACUCUUUGUCAUGUUGGAACAUGCUUUGCAGUUGUCUUCUAUCAGGCGCCAUGUCCAUGUUGUAUUUGUAGUGUUUGAUGAAGGCGUCUGAUAGGUCUUGGAAGCAUCUGAUCCUACUUUGAUCCAGACUCAAAUACCAUUUAGAAGGAGCCCCACUCAAGCUAUCUUAGAAACAGUGGAUCAUCAGCUUGUCAUCUUCCACGUGGGCAUCCAUUUUAUGGUAAUACAUGAUGAGAUGGCUUUUUAGGCAAGUAUGCCCCUUGUAUUUGUCAAAAUCCAGAGUUUUGAACUUAGUCGGAAUCACCAACCCAGAUACAAGGCACAUUUCUUUGGCAGCAGAACCAAAGACGUGGUCUCCUUCUAAUGCUCGGAACUUCUUUUCGAGGAGUUGCAUGUUCUCCUUCACUUCUUUGAAAUAUUCAAAUCUCACUUCAUCACCACUAAUAGUUGACUCGGAAUUCUGAUAUAGGUGAUGUUAAUCUUCAAAAUGUGGAACAAGCCUAACAUAAGCAGCUGGUGGAGCAACAGUGUGAACGACUGGGCGUGCAUCAGUGUAAAUCGGCAAUGGCACAACUUAUUGGACAGAUUGCCCCAUGUUAUGCACUACUUCCGCUCGAGGGAUGAAUUCAUAAGGUAACCCAUAUGGAGAUAGGGUUGAAGGUAAAAGACCUCUGAAGUUGGACUUCGACUGCUGGGUCCGUGAUCUCCAAAAUCACGGUCGCUUGUGGAGCUUCAAAUCUGAAAGUCAAAGCUUGUAGAGUUUCUCUUAUCUGGGACAUGCCUCCCUUGAUCUCGUCUAAUUAGGCUCUAACUCGAGCACUUUCUUGCUCUUGUUCAGCCAUCCUUUGUCUUGCUCAGGCGCGAGUAUUGUACGGGUGUUGAAGAUUCAGUGUGAAACUGGAGGAAGAAAGGACAGAGUGAGACUCUAUUUUAAAAAUGUAUGAAUGCAUGUAUGGAUGCAUCUUGUUUGCAAAACUCUUAGUUAGUUUCAGUUAUUCAUUUCAGAAAUGCCACAACAUUUGUUCGCAAGUAUUUAUAACAAUAAAGCAAUAAAACACAAUAAAAUGAAUCCCAAAAGUGAUUUUUCACUAAUUUAGAACAAAGUUCAAAUACAAACAAAUGCCUAUGGCCUACGGGCCUUCCGAACCGUGGCAAGGUCGGUAGUCAGCCCCUCCAACAUCAUCUUACAAAAUUUAAUGAAGUUAAAAACUUAAUGUGGAGUGUUCUCUGGACACAUGCACCAAUCAGCUUCUUGCAAUUUCUCAGGUAACUCCUGCAUGAUGGAAUUUGCAAAUCUGGACAGCCUCAGAAAUUUGCCCUUCCAUUUAGUGUAAAGUCCUUGGAGGUCUUGAAUGAUGCGCAAGUCUUCAGCCUUGGUCACCUCUAUGUCUCUAUAUAGGUUUCUCCAGUAUCUGCACUCAUUUAGCAACAUCAGAUAGGCAGCUUCCUGAUCCAUACCCUCAAGUGCCUGGAUCCUAGCAUCGGCUUGUUCUAACUAAUAAUUCAAAUGUGUACAAACUCCUUCUGACUCUUUAGUCUUCAACUUCUCAUGUUCCCAAGCAUCCUUGUACUUCUGAAUGGUGUUCUCAAGUUCACGAGUACGAAUCUCAGAAAUCAUACGUGCUUCCUUCUUCAUUUCAAGAGUCAACUCCCGAGUUUUGUUAGGUUUUUGGAUUCGAAGUACAACUUCAUCCAACUCUUCCUCAUUCGUCUUGAACACAAAUUUAGUAUCGUAGAGCGCUUAUCCAAACUUUUCUCUCCUUGCCUCAGACUCCCUGUCCCUUUUGUUGGAAAUUUCAAGUUCUUUGUCCUUUUUCUAUUGACUAUCUUUCAAAUUUCCACUCUCUACCGAGACUCGGCCGAGCUUAAUCCUCAAGUCAGUAUUCUCCAACUCCAUCUCCUUAAUACAUGCAUUAAGCUUCUCCACAUUUUCGGGUAAUAUGGGUUCUGGUUCAGGAACCAACGGAUAGAUAGAAGGAUCAAAUGGAAAAAGGGAGUUUAACCAUUUGAACCCUCUCUCUCCCCCAACAAGUAUAAGGCUCUCGAGCGAUGGCAUUUCUCUUACCCAAUUCUUUUCCCUUUCUGAUAAUCGCUUGCCAUGACCUCUUGAUCUUCUUCACCAUAGGGUGAUCUGCUUCAGCGCUGUGCAAGAUGAAGGGCUCUAAAGCUUCAGUUUUUGGAGGGCCAUUCAUAGGGUAACCAUGCUGCCUCAAAGAUAACACGGGGUUGUAGUUGAUGCAACCCUUGGUUCCUAUCAAAGGUACAUUGGGGAAGUCUCCAAUGCUGACAAUAACAUCCUCGAUUUCCGAAUCCCUGAUGUACCACUUAACAUGAUUGGAGGUGAGAGAAGCUAACUUCUGUGAGGGCUUGAGUUCCUUUGAGACAAAAGGGCCUUCUUCGGGCAUACGAGAUCUAAACCAAGCAUGCAACAACUGCACACAACAUAAAAUGGUUCCUCCUUUCUUCUCAUGACGCUCAUGGAGAGCAUAAUGAAGGUCUGCUAUGAGGAAUGAUACAGGAUUACCAGAGAGAAAGAUCCUCACAGCCAGAUGGUCCACAAAAUGGUCAAUAUUUGGGAAGAGAACUAUCUCAUAUACCAACAUAGCUAACACAUCAUAGAAAGCUUUCCAAUUCCCCUCUUUUUCCAUCUUCUUAGCUUGAUCUUCCAAAAAAUUUCUAGAAAAACCAUUGAAAGCCCCCUUCAUAUCCCAAUUGUCCACGACUUCAGAAACCUUCAAACCCAAAGCUAAAGUUAUCCUCUUGAGAGGAAUACCUUCAUCAAACAUAGGAAAUGGAUUAUGAUCCCUCAAAUUCCAUCCUACAAUCCUCUCGAACUCUUCCAAGGUAGGAGCCAAUUGGAAGUCAGAAAAUGUGAAACAACGUAGAGGUGGAUCAUAGAACUGAGUAAUAGUCACCGCGGUCAUCAUGUCCAUCUUAUCAUAUAAGAUGUCUAGAAUUCUUCCAUAGUCUUGCACAAAGCUGUUGAGUUUGAUCAGUGUCACUUUGGCGUUCAACUUCUGCAGGCUGACCAGGUCCACUUUCUUGUAUUUGAACUGAAGAGUGCUUCUUCUCUCAAGAUUCAUUUUGCUAACAAGUCUUGAAUUCCUGAAACAAUGUGAAACAAACUAAGAAUUUUGAUUUUUAUGCGUAUGCAAUGAAUGGAUGAAUACAAUGUUUUUGGUACAAGUUCAAAGGUUCGAGGUAAGGAUAAAUCUGAUUGCUUUCCAAAACGGGGUUCUCACCGGGUAUGAUCUAGGGUUUUGUUACAAAAGACCCCCAGAGUCACUGAUUCACGAGAAUGUUUGACGCUUACGGAAAAUGCUUUCCAGUCAUCAACUUCAUCAAGGGAAUCUAUUCUGGGUGAGGUUCUCGUACCGACCCUUACGAGGUAUUCACCUCGGGAGUCCGUACGACGCAACCAUCGACUUGGUUCUAGACAGGGUACUCAGAGUCAUGGGUUCAAAAGAAUGUUUGACGCUUACGGAAAAUACUUGCCGAUCGUCAACUCCAUCUAGAGAAUCUAUUCUGAGCGAGGUUCUCGUAUCGAUUCUUAUGAAGCAUACACCUUAGGAAUCCAUACUACACAACCAUCAUUCCUAGUUGGCCAAAGGUUCAAUGUUCUAAAAGGUCCUUAGAGUCAUGGACCCCUUUGAAAUAUUGAAGCUUACGAAGUAUUCACCUCGGGCGAUAAUAUUUGCAAAAGGAUCUACUCUAAGUGAGGUUCUCAUACCGGAUCUUACGAAGUAUUCACCUCGGAAGUCUGUACUACUCAACCAUCAUCAUAUCUUAUGUUUUUUCACUUUAGACUCGAGUGUAGAGUCUUUUCCACAUGGUUUGCAAUCAGAACACCCAAAUGCCAACAUCAUAAUGGAACCAAUAUACAACAGAUAUAUCAAUAUAACAAUAAAGAUAACAUAAACAAUACAGAAAAAAGCCACACAAGUAAACAAACAAGUCACACAAACAUCCUAACUAGGCUUGACUCACUUAGGGAAACAAUGUCCCCAACAGAGUCGCCAUCUGUCGUACCUCAAAAAAAAUGAGAACAUGACCUAGCGAAGCGCAAUCGCACGCUCGCAAUGAUGGACUGAACAGAGUCGCCACCGAAUUUUAUUUAUUCCUAAAAAGGAAAGGGGAAAUAGUGAUAAAACCCAAUAAAGAAUGACAAUGAUUAUGGUCGUCACAACCAAAUCAGGGUUUGAGAGUCGAUUACGCAAGGGGAAGGUAUUAGCAUCCCUCAUGUCCGUUGUACUCAACGGGAACCGUUAGGUUAGUUGUGCGCGUUAGUGUUAGUGUGGAAUGUUAGGCUUCUCGAGUUAUUAGGUGGGAAAGAAAGAAUAGAAGAGAGAAGAAUGUUUUUAGGUUUUCAACGAAGGGGACUAAACCUAAGUUUUUUAUUAAUGGGCCUGACAAGAUUUACAAAUCCUACUACUAUGUAUCUCCAGGUGCAAUAGAGAACUCAAGGCUUACGUAGUUCUUGGUAGAAAAAUGUUUGUUUAUUGGUCUAUUUUAGCGAAAGCUACUUUGUUUCAGUCGACGAAAACAUUGUUGGACUACCCAAAACAAGUGGAGAAGGGGACAUACGCAUCACAACCGAAUGGAUUUACAAAUCAACAUUCGUGGGCAACGUUGCAAGCUUACUCGCACGUUCAAGUGGAUGAAACAUUGCUUUGAAUCAUCUUGAAAUAAAAUACCUUUCGUUUGAGAAAGGGUUUAAAGGAUUGAUCGCACGGUGGCGAGAAAAGAGUUUGAUUAGUUUAAAUGUGUUUUGAGUAAUGGCGAGAACUUGGAUGACCGAGAUAUCCAUCUCGAAUCCUAGCCUCAAGAGUACGUGGUAUCCACCACGUUCCAUUUCCAUCUUAUUUGCAAAAUGGUUUGAUAUUUUUAUGUGCUUUGAGAUUUGAUUAAGAAAAGGGUUUAAUGAAACCGCAUUGACAGUUUUGAAUGAUGGCGAGAGCUAAGAUAGGAGAGAUAUCCAUCUCGAAUCUUAGUCUCAGGAGCUCGUGGUAUCCACCAUGUUCCAUUUCCAUCUUUAUUGAAACGUUAAAUAGGAAUUAAGUAUUUUUUUAGUUUUAUUAUGAAAAUGGCUUGACGUUGGAUUAAGCGUUUGGUGGACGAUUGAGAAAGAUUUGAAUGAAGUGGUUUGAAUGAAAUGGAAUGGAAGGAAGAAAUGAAUUGAUUUUGUUUGUGAGAAAAUACUCGACGUUGGAUCGAGUUUUUAUUUUUUUGACCUUUUUGAAAAGAAGUUGAUUUUAUUCUUGUGUUAGUAACUAGCUAAACAAUCAAGCAAUAGAGAAAUAAAAACAGUAAAAUUAUUACAUGUCAUGGGAGUGGGGGUACAUUUUGUCGAAUAGGGAUUCAAAAUAAUGAAACAAAUAAAUCGGGGCCAAUCAAUGAAUAAACAAUGUAUGAAUGUAGGUGCGAGGGGAUGGUCUCAUUGUAAGAAGGCCCAAGAGUAAGCCAUGUGAAGAAAGCAACAAACACAAAGUUAUACUUACAAGAUAAUAAAAAAUUAAAUCAAAAGGAGUAAAAUCGGGACGUGCACGGAUUAAAAUCGGGAUGCGAGGACGUGAAUCAAGGUCGCAUAACACAAAGACGUGCAAGGCGGGUGGAAAUUGAGGAGCAAAUAACAACUAGGUAAUGUGCUCAAAGUCGGUUUGCGCAUAUUGACAACAAUCAAAAUGUCAUAUGCGAUUAAUCGAAACGUGGUGAAAUACUAUCAAUAUCUCGAUAAAAUAAUCAUGGAACAAGAACAUGGAAUUGUUGAAUCCCUAGAUUAAAGCUCGAUUCUUAAUUGAUGAAAAUAAAUCAAAGACAAACAUUAAAAUCAACAAGCGUCGGAAAAAUGAGAAUAAAAUAAAAAAAGAAUAAAAAUAAAAAUAACAUCAAAAAAUGAAAUAGUAAAAAAAUAAUGAAAUAAAUAGAUAAUGAGCAUGGAUGAAUAGUCAUAGACUAACAACAUCCAUUCAUAUAAAGACAAAAGAAACAAGAGGAAUGGAUAGAAAAAAUAAAUAAAAAAAUGCACAUAGUCUGGAAAUGGUGGACAACAAGAUCAAACCCAUGGUCCUGAGAGUGCAAGACCGUGCCUUUUCCACUCGACCAGGACCAACUCUUGGUCAUAUGCCCGUGUCCAUUACUAAUCAUUUGAUGUAAUAACGCAAAAUAGAAAAGAAAAAAAAACAAUAAAAAGUAAAUUUAAUAAAACAGAACAUGUGUUUUUUGCAUAUAUUUGUCUUUUUCUUCAUCCUGCUUUCGGCAAUCCAGCCCCCAAAUGAGAAGCUACUAAGUGGAAUUUAUUUUUAUACAAAAAGGAAAUGAAAACAAACAUAUCAAAACGAAACAUUCCAGUAAAACUUCCAUUUUUUUUAAAGUGUCCAUCUCUUUUCUGUAGCAAUCCUCCACUUUGAAAUAAACAAGAAAUUUCCAAGUUCAAACUAAAUCAACAAUUAAUAAAAUUAAAGUCUAGCAAAGUUGAAAGCAAACAUCCAACAUCUUAAAAUGUCCAUCUCUUUUCUGUAGCAAUCCUCCACUUUGAAAUAAACAAGAAAUUUCCAAGUUCAAACUAAAUCAACAAUUAAUAAAAUUAAAGUCUAGCAAAGUUGAAAGCAAACAUCCAACAUCUUAAACAAACAAAACAAAUCAGACAUGCAAAUGGGAGAAGAAAAGUUACCGACUCGCAAGCCCGACAACAAAUCCAGCGGCGACGGCGUAUGAGCGAUGUCGGAUCCGCAACUUAAACCCGAUUUGAUCUUAAAAACAAUGAUAACACACUUGAGGUUGCUGAGUUGUUGAUUUCGUGUUCGCGAUGUUACCAUGAAACCGAAACUGAGUUAUUGUUGUUGAUAAAUCAUCGUCGUUACCAAACCGUCGUCAAUGUUGGAGCUAAGUCUUUGGUGAACGGGGAGUGACGGUUGAGGGAGGUAGAUGUCGAUUGAAGAGUGUUGGAUGAACGGUUUCCAAUGAGUGAAACCCGACGGUGGCAAUUUGCGAGAUGUUUUCUUGGAAGUGGAAGGAAAAAUGGUUAAGGGACUUUUUUUUUGAAAAAGAAGAGCUACCUCCCCUCUCUGCUAUUUUUUUUCAUGUUUAAAAAAAGUCAUGAUAGCAAUGAAUAGGGUCCCCUUUUAUUAUGAAUGGAGAGGUAUGGAUAUUAAAAAAAAAAGCGUCCUUUUUCUCUUUACACAACCACGCGUUUGAGAGAGAAGAAAAUUAUUCUUCCCACAUGGCGACCGUUGAAAGGUAGUAGUGGAUGGGUUGCUACCUACCUCUCCCUCUGCUACAGUUGUCCGUAACUAGGAGGAUACAUGGGAUUACUCUCAUGCAACAUACUACAUGAGUCAUAUUUUCACUUGCUAUUCCAUCCAAUUCAGAAUUCUAUCCCCACAUGGAACCAAACGAAUGGAGGAACAAAAAGUGUUUUCAACAGUUUUUUAUUUUUCUUUGAUAAAUUAGUUAAAAAAUAUAACUUCCAAAAUUAAUAAAAAAAAACGGGCACAAUAAAGAUUCAGACAAAAAAACAUAAAUAAUUCUAAAUAAUUGGCCCGAUCAUUUUGACUAAAAAAAUAAAACCAAAUGUAUAACGAGUGAAUAAAAAUUGGACACAAAAAUGCUUGGCAAAUUAAACUGAAAGCAAUAAUAUAAUCAGUGCGAAAUAAACUUAUAGAAAAAAUACAGUGUUUCUUUUAAUUUUGAAAUAAAUUUUGACCGGUUGAACAGGCUCGAGCCGAUCAAAAAGUGGCCGAAAAAUUAGCCGAAAAAUAAAUCGAGCAUACCAAAUUAAACUACGUGAGACGUAGAUUAAUAAAACUGGUGCCUACAAGCUUGAUUUGGAAAUUUUUUGUCCAUUAAUUUUACGGACCUCCGUCAAUUAAUUCAACCGGUUUGGCUGUAGAUUCAAAAAAACUAUUUCGACUGAUAUUCUAGGCACUAUGCGGUAUGACACACAUGAUAUGCUAUGUAGAGAUGCAAUAACUAUGAUGAAUGUAUUGAAUCAGCGAUUCAGGGUCAAAAUCGAGGUGUGACCGCAAUUAGUGAACAACUGUUGCGCUUGGCUACCCCUCAUGCAUUUGGAUUAGUUUCUACCCCAUCUCAUACUGAAUCAUCUGCUCUUGCUUCCCACUAUCAUGGUCGUGGCAGAAGAACUGGAGGACGGGGUGGACAUCUUCAUGGUAUUCAUUGUAACUAUUUCAAUCGUUACAGUCACAUUGAAGUUGAUUGUCGUACAAAGGCAAGAGAACAACAACGACAACCACAGGACGUUGUCGUUGCUCAACCGGAUAUCACUAAAGACACCAUUAUCCCUCUGCUGAUUACAAUGAUUUCCUUCAAUUCAAAGCAACCCAUCAACCAUCAUCAUUUGUCGAUGUUGCUCAGUCGGAUAAUUCUAUAGCCUUUGUCUCUACAUCUUCUCUUGGUCCUUGGAUCUUUAACUCUGGUGCCUCUAAUCAUAUGGCUGGUAAUAAAUCAUGUUUAUCUCACUUGUUUUAUUAUGAUUCUUUUCCUUCUAUCAUUGUGGCAGAUGGUUCUAAAAUCAAAGUUCAUGGCCUUGGCCAGGCACAUCUACUUCUAAAAUUAUCUUUAGAGUCUGUCCCUUGCAUUCCUGAUUGUCCUUUUAAUCUAAUAUUUGUUCACAAGCUUACUCAUACUCUUGAUUGUUUAGUCCUUUUUAAUGAUAAAUCUGUUUAUGUCCAGGAUCGUCGUACAGGACAGACGAUUGGAGCAGGGAGUGAACCUGGAGGAUUAUAUCAUUUAUCUCCACCGGUGGCAUAUGCUUCUAUUUAUUCUCAAGACCUUACACAUCACCGUUUGGGUCACCCUAGUCUUAAUAAAAUGCGUCUUUUAGUUCCUAAUUUUUCUAAGGUUUCAUUUUUGAGUGUCAGUCAUGUCAAUUAGGCAAACAUACUCGUAGUACUUAUUGUCAACGAGUACACAAAAGUGUUGCAUCACCGUAUGCUUUGGUUCAUUCUGAUAUUUGGUGUCCUAGUUAUGUGAAGUCUACUUUAGGAGAUUAUUACUUUGUAACUUUCAUCGAUGAUUUCUCUCGAUGCACUUGGUUAUUUCUAAUGAAAAAUCGUUCAGAUGUCUUUCGUAUAUUUUAAGACUUUUAUGCUGAAAUUAAAAACCAGUUUAACACUUCCAUUAAAAUUUUAUGCACUGAUAACGCUCGUGAUUAUAUGUCAUCCUAGUUUCAAUCCUUUUUUACACCACAUGGAAUUAUUCAUUAAUAAUCAUGUGCUCAUAUACCACAACAGAACGAUGUUGCUGAACAGAAGAAUUGUCAUUUGGUUGAAACCGCACAGACUAUUUUACUUCACCACAAUGUACCUUAUCAUUUUUGGAGUGAUUCUCUCCUCACAGCAUGUCACCUUAUCAACCGAAUGCCUUCAUCAAUCCUUUAAGAUCAGAUACUAUACUCUAUCUUGAAUUUGCAAUACGAUCUCUACUUUAUUCCUCUUCGUGUUUUUGGUUGCACAUGCUUUGUUCAUGAUCUUAGUCCAGGUAAAGACAAACUUUCCGCAAAAUCUCUCAAAUGUAUUUUUCUAGGUUACUCACAUAUACUAAAGGGAUAUCGUUUUUUUCCUCAACUUCAAUGAUCUAUAGUUUCCUCCGAUGUUACAUUCUUUGAAGGUCCCCCUUUUUUCUCUGUCUCGGUGUCACCCGAUGAGAUUUGUAAUUCAAAUGUUCGAGAUAUCCCUUAUGUCAUCCCGACACCCAUUAAACCUCCAUUGCAGGUCUACUAUGACGGGAACCCCAUCCAUUGAAAUUUAGAGAUGAUAUUAAUCCAUGAACACCACCUCAUUCUCCAACUGUUCCUCCAGCUACAUCACCUGAACUUGACCCUCCAAUAGCAUUACGAAAAGUUAUUCAAUCUCAUAGCCCAAAUCCUAAAUAUGCUUGUGUUUUAAAUUAUGAUCGUCUCUUUACUUCCUAUGUUUCUUUUGUGUCUUCUUUGGAUUCUAUGUCUACUCCUAAGUCUACAAGUGAAGCUAUAACUGAUCCCAUUUGGCGUCAGGCGAUGGUGGAAGAAAUUGUUACAUUGCAUUAAAAUAACACUUGUGACAUUGUUACUUUACCUUCUGACAAAACUACAGUAGGAUAUUGAUGGGUUUAUACAGUGAAAGUUGGACCAGAUGGUUAGAUUGAUCGUUUCAAAUCUCGUUUUGUAGCCAAGGGAUACACACAAAUAUUUAGCCUUUAUUAUGGUGACACUUUUUCUCCAGUGGCCAAGAUUAGUUCAGUUUGUCUCUUCCUUGCAAUGGAUGCUAUUAAUCAUUGAUCACUUCAUCAGUUGGACAUUAAAAAUGCCUUUUUACACAGAGAAUUGGAGGAGGAAGUGUAUAUGGAUCAACCUCCAGGUUUUAGGAUUCCUGGCAAUUCAAGACUUGAUUUUAGGCUUCAUUGUUCUCUUUAUGGGAUGAAAUAGUCUCCACAUGCUUGGUUUGUCGAUUCAGUUCUGCCUUGACACAAUUUGGUCUGACUAAAUAUGUAGCAAAUCACUUUAUUUUCUUCCUUCAUUCCUCCAUCGAUCAUUGCGUCUUUCUUGUGGUCUAUAUUGAUGACAUUGUUAUCACUAGAGACAAUACAUAGGGUAUCCAUCGACUCAAAACUCAUCUUUUCAAAAACUUUUUGAAAAAAGAUUUGUGUCCACUCAGAUACUUCUUAGGUAUUGAAGUUGCUCAGUCCUCAUCAGGCAGUGCAAUUAACCAACAUAAGUAUGCAUUAGACAUCCUAACUAAAACCGGUAUGCUUGACCAUCAUCCAAUUGAUACUCAUAUGGAUCCCAACGUCAAGCUUCUUCCGAGUCAGGGGGAACUGUUGAAAGACCCAAGAAGAUAUCGAUGUUUAGUGGGUAGACUCAAUUAUCUUACAGUCACCAGACCGAAUAUUACUUUUUUAGUGAGCAUUGUGAGUUAGUUCCUAAACGCUCCUUGUGAUACUCAUUGGAAUGCAGUUAUUCAGAUUCUCAGAUAUAUAAAGAAUGCACCAGGAAGAGGCCUAUUAUAUGAAGAUAAAAGUGAUGCUAAAGUCACAUGUUAUUCAGGUGCAAAUUGGGCAGGAUAACUGUCGGAUAGGAGAUCAACUUAUGGAUAUUAUGUUCUUAUUGGAGGAAAUAUGAUCUCAUGGAGGAGCAAGAAAUAAAACACAGUUUCACUAUCUAGUGAUGAAGCUGAAUAUCGUGCUAUAGCAACAACAUCAAAGGAAAUUGCAUGGCUUAAGAAUUUUCUCUCAGAACUUAGGUUGGGAGACCUUCAGGCCAUAAAACUCAUAUGCGACGAUCAAGCGGCACUUUACAUUGCAUCCAAUUUGGUUUUCCAUGAACGGACUACACACAUAGAAAUAGAUUGUCACUAUCUAAGAGACAAGGUAUUUUCAGGAGAAAUAACCACAUAAUUUGUCUAAACUGAAGAUCAACUGGCCGAUAUUUUUACCAAGUCUCUCAAGGGUUCUCGAGUGAAUUAUAUUUGUAACAAGCUCGAAUCAUACAAUAUAUACGAUCCGACUUAAGGGGGAGUAUUGAGAAUCCAUUAUCAAUCAAUUAGUAUUGAUUUAUAUUCAAUUAGUCAUAAGUGUAAAUUAUAUUAUUACCUAUUGUGUAUACCUCUUUUGCAUAUAAAUAUACAACAUGUGUGAUCAUAUUCGACACAUAGAGAUACAAUUACAACAAAAGAAAAUGACCUUUUGCCUUGAAGUUAAUAUCAUUAAACUUAUUUCUUUGAGCAAUUUUUAUUAUUUUGUCUCGUUUCAAGAAUUUUUCAAACUUCUCUACAAGUACUUCUAUAUCUUUAUCUUCUUCUUCUCCACUAUCAUAUUGAGAUUCUUCUUGUUGAUCACUAUCAUAAUAUUUGACUUUGUUUUAAUGCAAGGGAUCUAACUUUAUGUUCACGUCCUUCAUACUUCUCCAAUCAUUCAAGUUCCAAUUCAUGUUCUUGCAAUUUUCCGAACAAUGUCAUUGAUGUCAUUUUGGAUAGACUUUUAUUUUGUGAAAUUGUCAUCACUUUUGGUUGUCAUUCCCUUGACAAAGAUCUAAGAACCUUUAAAUUUAAUUCACUUUUUGGUGAAUUUUUUUCAAGAACGGUUAAAUGGUUUUUCAAAUGAGCGAACCUCUUUUCCAAAUCUAGAAUCAUUUCUCUUGAUUGCAUUCUAAACAUCUCAUAUUCUUGAUAGAGUGUUUAAUCUAAAUCGUUUUACUUCUCCAUUCCUUCGUGUGUUAUCUUUAAGGUUUCUCAUAUUUCUUUAGCGGUUUGGCAAUUAGACACUCUAACGAACUCAUCUAUUCAUAAGGAGGAUGCUAUUAUGUUUUUGGCUUUAGAAUUUUCUUAUUAUCAUCAUCAUUUCAUAUAUCUUCUGAUUUUCGUUGACUUACACCAUUAACAAGUAAAAUAGAAAUGUAGGAACCAUUUUUUACUGCUUUCUAAACUUCCACACCUUAUGAUUCUAAAAAUAUUUGCAUUCUAAUCUUUCAAAAGUCAUAACACUAUCUAAUGAUCUAAUGUAAAUCAGUAUAAUUCAAUGAGCAGUUUUUAAAUGUCUAGGUUAUUCGUAGUUAAAAAAUAAUAGCCACAAUCAAAAUCAUAUAAUGAUCCAAUAAUUUCAAUAGCCUUAAAGGCGACAAGGAUCCCCACAUAAGGAUCUAGCAAUUUCAAUAGCCUCAAAGGUGGAAAGGAUUCUCACAUAAGGAUCCAACAAUUUCAAUAGCCUCCAAGGCUAUCUCAAUUAUAUUCCUUUUCUCCUUGAAAUCUUGCAGGAAAAUCAACAACAAUCUAAAACUUAUAUAAAUGAAGUGAAAGUCUCAUUAAAAAGUGUGUGCUACUUUAAUAACACAUGAGAAGAGUUCCCCCUACAAAAACGUCAUUAUCCUUACAAAAGCGACUGAGAAUAUCACUCACAUAAACACAAUAAACAUAAAAUAAUAAAACUAAGUGAGGCUUAUCUCCCUAGCAAUCAUCUCUUGGUAUGAGGACUUCUUCUACAGCUUUCACGCCUGCUUCUUCUAGAAUGGUCAAACCUUUCACGCCAAUUAUUCUUGCUAAAAUUACAAAUGUAUGAUAAUCCCUAGUGAUUAAGGGUUAUCAGAGGGUUUAAGGUUAUUGUGAGAUUAAGAGAUAUCUCACAUGGGGUGAUAAGCUUUUUUAUGUGUGUAUUUAUGUAUUGUCAUCAGGUUUUUCCUUCAAUUAUCAUGAUGGAACAUUUAUAUCCGUUCCGGGACACAAUCUUGGACUUACUUAGAAAUAGAAACCACUCAGGGAGUCAAGAGUUUACCUCCUGAUAUUUAGGAGAGUGUGAUCCACCUAUUUCAUGACUUCUUCCAUGUCGUUAUAUGAGGAAGACACAUCACUUAUAUCUGCGAUAGGCAACCUAACAUAGUGAAGGGUGAGACAUCUAACAAAAGGGCAUUACAUUCAAUAAAGGGGCGUCUGGUUUGAUACACGAGUGACUUGUGAUCUCCAUGUCGCCUUUUAAGGCCUAUAUACCAAAAUACUGAUACAAUACUAUUUAAAUGAAGUAAGGCGUAAUUCACCGUUUCUAUUCCUAUUUGUAAUUAAAAGAAUUUAUAUGAAGCCUAUCCUCAAGAUGAGAUUGAGAAGUAGUACUAGAAUUUAAAAAAUUUCUUAUGGGCAGGUGGAGAAUCGUUCUCUUACUUAUGUCAUGAUGUUUAAACCUAAGAAACAUUUUCAUGUUUUCCUUAUAACUCACUAUACAAAUUGCUAGAAUGAACGAAAGAUAAUAACUUGACCUAAACAACCAUUAUCAAGGUUUAAUGGAAGGGUUGUUACAUGCAUUUCCUCUUGCCGCUCUUCAAUAGUAGACUCUCCAAAAUCUUAAAAAACAUAAAACAAAAAUAGUGACAACUUUCUCAUAACGGAAUAACAUUACUCAUUCUCUAUAAAAUUUGAGGUACUAGGACUUCCAAAACAUAACUGAAUAAAUAUGUAACAAUAAUAUAAUAUGCCCUCAUGCAGGAUUGAACUGCAAACCUUCAGUUUACAAGACUGACACUCUACCACUGAGCUAUAAGGGCAGAUGAAAUUUAAUUUAAAUAUUUUUGCUAUAAUUUCAUAGGUUCAUAAACUCCAUCGUAUUAAUUUGGAUAUCAUUGAAUAAAGUGAAUUUUGGUAGCAUGUUGAGUUGGUGCAUACUAUUGACAAGUCUUAAGAUAUCUAUAACAAAUUGAAACUCAUGAUUUCUCUAAAAAAUAGUAUAAAUAAAUGUAUAAAAAUCUAUUUUACUCAAAAACCUUUCCAAUGGUCCUUUUGUUAGAAAUAUUUCAUAUCGGUAUUGUUUUAAAUAAAAUCCAACAUAUAUGAAGUUUUGAUAAUUAAUAUUGAAUUUUAUAGGGCAUUUCAUAGCUCUUCAUCCGACCUUAUUGGUAUCCCAUUGCAUUAUUGUUUCUAUAGUUAAAAAAGGAAUAUGAACAAUAAUAUAGAAGAAUACAAGGUAAAGUUUCUAAUUUUUUGGUAUAAAUUUGGUUUUAUAAGCCAUGUUUGGUUGGAUGAGUUAUGUUUUUUUUUUAAAAUUCUAGUGCAUAUAUAUCAUUUAAGCCAACUAGCUGCAUAUAUCACAUGACAAAUACGAUAUAUAAUAUUUAUAGUAAUUUUCUCAAUUGGUUCUUGUGGUAUGUUGUUUUGUGCAGGGAUCGGUCGCAAAUCUUUGUUUGGUUCAAUGUUUUUUGCAAUCUUUAGAUUAGUAUUUUUUGUAAUUGUUGUUUCAGUCUCGUUUGUGAGUUAUUCUCCUUUCAUGUACAUUGCAUGUGUGUGAUUUUGUGUUUGUUUUAGCUUUUUUUUCAUUCCAUUUUUAUGGCCUUUUCUAGUUAAGUGGUGUUAAGCGUCAUAAUUGGUGAUGUUUUGAUGUGCCUUAUCCCAAGUAGUCUGUAGUGGCUAAGGGAAGUACUAUUCGGAUUGCGCGUUGUAGCAUGAAGUCUUUCACCAACAUAGAAAAUUGUAACAAAUGAAAAAAUGGUCAUGUCUUUCAAAGGAAUUUUCACGGAUCGCAUGGUAAUUUUUUUCAACCCCUAUUCUAAACUUUUAUAUAUAUAUAUAUAUAUAUAUAUAUAUACUCCCUCCGUUCCUUUAUAAGUGUCACUUUCUUACAAAAAAUUUGUUUCUUUUUAAUUGUCACUUGCAAAAUUCAAGGUAAUAUUAAUUGCAAUUUUGUCAAAAUUACCCCUAGAUAAUGAUUGCAGAGAGAGAAAAAGUAAAAGUGAAUGUAAUAAAUAAUUAGGGGUAUUAUAGGUAAAAGAAGAAUUAUUGUUUGAAAAGUAACAAUAAUGAUUAACUUCCUUGGUAUGUGUAAAAAGUCAAAAUAAGACACUUAAAAAGGAACGGAGGGAGUACCUUUUUAGUCUCAGGGACUUUAUAUGAUUAAAAAAUAUAAUAUUGUGUUUGUUGUUUCUUACGUUAAAACACGUGUUAGGUGUGUUUUUGAAAGAUUUUGAGACAUGCUGAUUUUACCUUCUAAUAUUGAUUGUUUUUUGAAUUAUCACUUGCCUAAAACACGUUACAAAUUCCAUGAUGUAUGUGAAUAAAUGAUAUAUUAAAAUUCAUCAUCCAAAUUUCAAGCAUCAUUUUUUUAAAAUUAGAGUGUUUUCAAAAAUGAGUUGCAAGCGGAAAGUUUGAUGCGAAAAAGAAAAUUAUACAGUUUGAAUAUUGAUCAAGUCAACACAGAUUGUUUCACAAAUAUCAAAGAUUAUAACGAUGAAACGCUUGGUACGAGUUAAUUCAAUUGUGUAAUGCACAAGAAGUGUUUACACAAUGAUUCAAUUGAUGAAAUACUAAAUUCAAUUCAAUUCAUAUUAUUAAUAACAAGACUAGCUUAACUAGUUAUCUAAUUCCAACAAAACCUAACGCUUAUGUAAUAAUUCGCUAUAAAAUAAUAAACGAUAUAAUAUGACAGAAUUGAAAAACCUAAGUAGGAAAUCACUAUGAAAUUAAUUGUCAGUGUGUGUGUGUAUGUGUGUGUGUGUGUGUGUGUGUGUGUGUGUGUGUGUGUGUGUGUGUGAGAGAGAGAGAGAGAGAGAGAGAGAGAGGGAGAGAAAGAGAGAUGACACUGAGAUUUAUAGUGCUUCAACUUUCGUUCUCGCUUUGCCUACAUGCACUCUUCAAUGGUUUCUCAUUGGAACCUGCAUAAUUCCUUGUUAUUUGAAAAAUAUUUCCAAGAGUUAAUACAAUCACCAAUCCAUAAUACAACUGAGAAAAUAAAUCUCCUAAUUUGGAUCUUGACUUGUAUACAACACACUUUUCAAACCCUUCCACAAAAUCUUUACUCAAAUACGUUUCUUGAAUCUUCCAAUAACACCAAUUCUGCUAUAAGCCUUCAUGUGUAGCUAUAACCCCUUGAUCUUAUCGAUUCUUUGAGCAAUGAAAUUGUUUGAAUAUCAGAGAGGAACUCCGCCUUAUCCGUAGCUUUCCACACAGUCACUACCAAGACAAUUGUGGAGAGAAGAACCUAAUUCUUUUCAAUGGAAUUUGUCACCACCAUUGGUAAUCACCUUAAUCUCACAAACAACUUGAAAAACUCAACAAGAUCUCCAAGAACGAGUAGUUUCAAGUAUGCACCUCCUUCAAUCAAUUACAAAAUUCUCAUUAUGAAGAUCUGAACUCAAUUAAAGUUGAAGAUGCAAGAAUUUUGUUGCAAGACUUUGAACACUAAAAAUAGAGGAAAUUGAUUUUUUUACUAAAUCACACUAAAAAUUAUGUUCAAAUGAUAGAUGAUAUUAUGAGAAAUGAUGACAAAGAGAUAUUAUAUGUGCUUAAGAUUGAGCACACAAAAUGGUUGAAAAAGCCAGUUAGAUUCGAAUCAAGAGCAAUCUAUGAUUUGGAUCAAAUGAGCAAGUGUAGUGGAAUAAAAGGAAAAACAUAAUUUUGAAAAAUGGACAGUUGAUUCGAAUAUGGAAAACGGUGAUUCGAAUAAAAUGCCACCUGAUCCGAAUAAAAUGCCACGUGAUUCAAAUCAUGUAUAAAUAUUUAUGCGAAAAAAAUGCCACCACCUUGACAAUGAUUUUUUUUGAAAAAGAAACUGAAUCGAAUCAUGUACAAAAUUCGAUUCAAAUCAAAUCAAACAGAAUCUGUCACCAAGAAAAUGAUUCGGAUCAAAUGCACAUAUUGAUUCGAAUCAAAUGACUAGGUUUCAUUUAUAUCCAAUUUGACCAGGAUAAAAAAUGCAGUGUAAAUUUUGAAUGAUUUGAAUCAAUCUUCUAAAAUCUCAAAUUUUCAAACUUUUAAAGGUACUUUGAGAUUUUACUUUGAAUCAAACUUGAAACAAGAACACCAAAUGUUUUCAUUCCAGUAACAUAUGCAAUUGAUCAAAGAACAUCAUGAUUGAGAUCAAAUCUAACCAAAAUUUUAUGCAUGCUAAAAAAAUGAAUCUUUUCAAACUUGAUUCUGAGAAGUGCAAUGCUGAAGAAGACUUAACAAAUUGAAAUAAAAUCAAAGAUAAAAACGAUAAGACAAGAAACAAAAUAACCAGAUAUAGAAUCUCCCCCUGACUGAAGUAGGGACAUACAACUACAUAAGUUGCAUGUUGUUGUGCCUCAUAAAAUACCUAAGUGCAUCCCACGCUCGAAAUACAACAGAGUCACCGCCGAACUUUAUUUAUUCCACAGGAAAUGGAAAAUAUUUAUAAAACCCAAGGGGAAGAGAAAUAGGGUAAGGAAGCCUUUUAUGCAAGAGGGAGGUAUUAGCAUAUCUCACAUCCAUUGUACUCAACAGGAACCGUUUUGAUUGUUCUUUACGCGAAUGAGUGUUAUUAUGUAAAGGUUACUUGUGAUUGAUUUUAAUAAAAAGGAAAAAAUAAGUUUAUUUUAAUUUGCUCGCCAAGGAUUCAAACCCUUGUGCCUACGUAUUCUCAUAGUGCAAUGAGAAAAUCAGAGCUUCGUAGUCCAUGGUAGAAAACUACGUAUUGUUGGUUGUUUUUAGGGAACAAUUAUAAUCGUAUCAUAUAAGUGUUUGACAUUAGCUGAUUCUCAUCCUCGUUCAAAUGCUUUAAGUUUUUAGUCUGACUACUAAGAAACAAAUUAUAACAGUUCUUUUAUGAAAAUUAAUUUGUUGUUGGAAAAGAGUUUGUGAUUUAUUUGAAUUGAGAAAGAGUUUAUGAAAUGGUGAAGGUGUUGUUUGAACGAAGAUUGUAUUGUUUGAACCCAUAGAGUGGUGUCUGAACCAAGAGUAGGAAAUGAAAGUGGUGGUUAAACCAAAGAGAAAGAAGUGGUGUUUAAACCAAAGAAAAAUAAGAGUGGUGUUUAAACCAAAGAGAAAAUAUUGGUGUUUAAACCAAAGGGAAAAUAAAUGCGGUGUUUAAACCAAAGAGGAAAAAAUGGUGUUUAAACCAAAGAGUGUGGCGUUUAACAAACAACUGGUGAUUGGCCAAUGCAGAGUUUUAGGAUUUUGCCUAGAUCCAAAGAUCAAGACCUACAAAUAGGGGUUUGCCUAAGCAUUGGGUCUGACAAGGAAAACAUGCAUGAAAAGGGUUUCAACCAUGAGAAGAUGAUUAACCCAUGCAAGAGGUGUUUAACCAAUAACUUGUGAUUAGCCUCAAAUGUUAUGCAUGGUUCGGAGAUGGGUAUUUAACCAAGAGAAGGUGAUUAAACCAUGUAGGAGGUGAUUAAAAAAGAUAAGGUGAUUAGACUCAAGAGUGUAUGGGUGUCCAAAGAGUUUUUUGUUUGGUCCAAAGAGAAAGGUAUUAUAGAUGUUGAUUAUUAAAGUGUUGUCUGUGGGUGUCAUACCCCAAAAGUUGUCUUACUUUUUUCAUUCAAUUCUCUUGGCUUUUGGUUUUGUUCAUUUGCAUUCUUUUUCUAUUUGAUCAUGCAUUCAUCGACAUUUGUAUAUGGUAACAAAUUUAGGUCAAAGGUUCGUGAUAAUGGAUUUAAUCGGUUUAAGUGAAUUUUUGAGGUGAGUAUUAUUUGGUAAUUAUUCGGGUUUAUUUCCUGUAUUACUUGUGGUAAGUAUCAUCUCUUUAUUUGAGAUUCAUGGUUAUCAGGGGGGUUGAAAUGAUCAUCACUUAAUUUAGAGAUUUGCUUGAAUUCAAAGGAAAUGACAAAGUUGGAAUAAAAGGAAGAUUCCAUUUAUUUAUUAGAAAAUAUCACUUCUCAAAAGCAUUAAAAGCCAUAGGUUAAACCACUCAAAAUUCAAGUCAAAGUGAUAGAAAAAUCAAGGUAAAGACAUUAAAAUUCAAGUUAACUACUAGUGACUUUUUGCCUUACAUCCUAACUUGGUACUUUUACUAAACUCCAACAGCAUUGGUAUCUAACUACCCUUAACUAUCUAUAUCUCCACAAGCCAUCCAUUUACCUAAUUACCCUUAACUACCAUACUUCCAUACUAACACAAACUUCCAAACUAACACAAAUCUCAACCUCCAUUUUUUUCCUUCAAUCCUAGUCACUCUUAACAAUUGAUCAUAUGGUUGAAAUUGGUGAUUCGCAACUAAGGAUUAAAUUAACUCAUAACCGUUGAUAAACCAUUUACUUGGAUCACAAUCCAAGGGUGAUCAUUCACCUACCAAGUCUAUAUAAACAUGUUAUUUUUCAUAAUUUUGGCCUUAACUAUCUUAACUAACCUAACUUCAAAAUUGACCACUAACCACUAUUUUUUCACCAUUUUUUUAUUCUCAAUUCAUCUUCUCUCUCACCUUCACUAAAGUUCAUCUUCAUAAGCAUUUAGAACUUCACAUUGAAGUUCUAAAAUGGUGGAACUUAGCCAUCAACAAUUAUCAAUCAACAAUUCAAGCAUUAUCAUCAAAAAUCGUCCAUCAACAAUUUCUACAUUAUCAUCAAUAAUCAUCAUCUAAAGUUUAUCAAGAUUUAUCAACAAACAUCAUCUAAAGUUCAUCAAUUCAAGUUUAUUCAUCAAUAUUCUAUAUUCAAGACUCAUCUUCUUCAUUCAUUCAUCAUCAAGAAUAAUUAUCCAAUCUUGAAAGUUAAUUGGAUUAAUGGAGCUUAUUCUUGAAGUAUUCUAGGUUUCUUUUCUACGCUCCGAUUUUCAACGCUAACCGGAGCAAAUCUCCGCUCCAUCGGUAAUCCUUUAUCUCUUUCACACUCUUGCCAUGAAUUGUUGGAUGUUUGCUUGUUGAUUAAUGUAAGCUACUGUUUUGAAAUAACUUGUUGGAAUAAUCACUUAUUUUGGCAUAGAGCACAUAAACUUGAAAACAAUAAUUCUUUAAUUCUUAACUAUUAUUAACAUGUGAAUAUACCAUUUGAAUUUAUUUUUCGCGCUGAUCGUGAAUAUAUAAUUAUUUUUUUGUUCCGAUGCAUAUUUUAAUCGAACCAACGCAUUCUUUAAUCAAAAUUUUUGCCUUUUUACUAUUUUUUCGGUAUAAUUCGUAGUUUGUGUCGUAAUUUACAAUAUUUGAUUUAUUUAUAUUUGAUUUAUUUAUGAAAUUCUGAUUUUAAUGAUAUUAAUUUGUCGAAUUUGAUUUUGUUGAACAUUACCGAAAGCUUGUUUAAAACUGGCAUCAAGUUGCUGCUAUUUUUGUUUUUCUAAUUCCUAUUACACAAUGUCAUGUUACUAUUUCAAUCUCAUGUAUAUAAUAAUCAUGUCACUGUUAUAACUAAUCAAGUUACUGCUAUUUCUUUUUUUCUAUGAAUUGUAGUACUUUCCUGCUAUUUUUUCUUCCUUUUUUUUAUACAUGUACUAGUAGCAUAUUUUAUAUUAUUAUUAAUUAUUCUUACUAUAUAAUUGCUAUUACUUCUAUGUUAUUACUACACACACUGUAUGUUCUUUCAUCAUAGCUUUAGUUUACCACCACAUUAUUAUUAUUCGUAUGAGUUUUUAGUUUAUGUUGUUUAAUAUGGUAUACUAUGAUUUCCACAUCACUGAUACAUAAUACAUAUUUCUUGUAUGCCAUAUUGGUUUUUUAUUUUCAUCAUCUCUUUUUUUUUUUAGUUUUGUUUUAGCUUAAUGUAUAAUUUAUCACAUGCUAAUGAUGACGCUAUUACAAUUCGUUUGUUUAUAUAUAUUACCAUGUGCUAAUGUUUUGUUUAAUAUAUACUAUUAGUCUUAGUUUAAAAAAUCUAUAGCUUAGACAUAUAAUACAUUAGUUUACUUAGAAAAUUAAUACAUUAGCUUAGCUUACAACAUACAUUAGUUAGUUAGUUAGAAAAAUAAGCAUUAGUAUUAAUUUAGUAAAAAUGCUAGAAUUAAUUUUUUAAAAUUAGUUUUAGUGAUUGUUUAAAAUUCUAGAAGUAGAAUUAAUGUAUUAGUUAAUUAUUUUUGAUUAAUUGAUAAAUUUUCUUUUGGUUCAUGUAAUUAAUUAAUUAAACCUUUAAUGAAUUCUUUUGUUAAUUCAUGGCUUGAUUUCCCUUGAUUUAUUUAAUUAUUUGGUCAAAUAUACUUUGAUUAAGUAACUAGAUUAAUAACUUUCUGACCUUUUAAUAUGACCUUCUCAUGAACAAUUGCAUGUUUCCUUAGCUUAGGUUGUAUAAAAUUCAACUGGUAUAAUCUGACUGAUCAAUUUAUUAUAUUUAUUGUGUAUAUAAUUCAACUAAUCUUUUUCAUUCCUACUAAUUAGUAUUGAUCAAAGGUCACUUUGGUUAACCAAAUCCUUUGCAUCUUGCUUAAGUCCCUAAGUCUAUUCAAGUGAUCAAAAGACCUUUGAUCACCUGGUAGGGCAAAUUCAUUUGUGCUCAGGCAUUAUUGGAUAUGCUGAAUCUCAAGACCUCAAGGUUUAAAUCCAAGAUCAAAACUUCAAAGUCAAUAUCAAUCACGCAUAACUGACAAAGUGGACCACUUCUCAAGCACAACAAAGGUAUCAACACUUGUCAGUCAUAAUUCAGAUUGUGUGGCAUGAGCCUUAAGAAAUAGAUAAGGAAUAAGAGUGGAGAAUUCCAUUAACUCGUUCUGAAUAUCUUUGGGUAUGAGACAAAAUGACCUAGUUGUUUAUCAUAAUUCAAAUCAAAUGAUUGUCAAAUCUUCUUCCACAAUAAACAACCUUGUAUCAUCAGGAUCAACACUCAUGAUCUCCUAUCAAUAACUUGUCAAUUUUGAUUCAAGUUGUAUGUCAUGAACCUUAAGUAAUGAAGAACGAUGAGAAUGGAACAUUCAUAUCCUUGUCUAGAAUAUCUUUGGGUACAUGACGAAUGACCCAGUUGCUCAAGGUAUUUUCCUUUGUUCAUAGAUUUUAGUGCAAUUUGAAUCAUACAAUUGAUAAGUAUUCUUCAAGCAAGCAUCAAUCGUUCAACAUUUCAAUAGUAAAAUAUCAUUGCACAUCAAUCCUUCUUCAAUAGUGAAGCACCAUUACUCUCCCCUUGGAUUCAAUACUAGACUUUUCUCCUUGAUGUCCAUAUAUCUUUUAGGGUCAUUACCUCAAGGUCGCACACCCAUUUUUUAAUCAAUUACUUCAGGCAUCGCCUAUACAGUUAUAAACUUUGGUAUUCUUUAUUCAUUUUCCUAUAAGAUAAAGACCUUGGCUUCCUUGCCCUACAUAGUUACAGAUAGUGAUAGACUCUCUUUUUCCCCUAGAGUUACAGACCCUGACAACCUUGAUUUUUUCUAUACAGUUAUAGACUUUGACAUUUCAUUCUGCCUAUAAAGUUACAGACUUUGGCAUUCAUUCAUUCUGCCCAUGGAGUACAGACUAUGGCUACCCCUUUUAGUGCCUACAUAGUUACAGACUUUGGCAUCACUUCUCUUUUCCCAUAGAGUUUCAAACUCAGGAAACCCUUUGAUUUUUCCCAUAAGGUACAAACUUUGACUUCCUUACCCUACAGAAUUAUAGACUAUGGCAUCAUCUUUUUGCCUAUACAAUUCAGACUUUGGCAUCAUUUCUCUUUACCCAUAGAGUACAGACUCUAGAAACCUUUGAUUAUGCCUACACAAUUGCAGACUUCGGUAAAUAGGAAUUUCAUUGUAAGUUACAGACUUUGACUUUUGUUCAUCUCACUCUGGAGUUACGGACUCUAGCUAUCUCUUAUCAUGCCUUGGAGGGUUACAAACCCUAACAAAUAUCUUUCCCUAACCUAUAGAGUCUCAAACACUGGUAGAAUAUUUGGUUCAUACCAUGCUUUCAUAAAUUCACUAUGGUUGAUUAGAAUCCUUGGUUAAUGCCACACUCUUGCUUUUCAGGCAAUUUGCUUUGCCUUUGGGCAAUCCAAUCAAUUUAUGCUUUCUUUUUUUCGUGGAUCCACAAACUACGGAGCUCUGACUUUCUCAUUGCACGGUGAGAAUACUUAGGCACGAAGAUGUGAAUCCUUGGCGAGCACAUUCUUAUUUAUUUCUCCUUCUUCUGCCUUAGGGAACCAUUCAUACAUUUCAUGAUCCAUCACCUAUCUUCAAUCAUAACCAUUCACCUUAGUGACAUACUGCCUUUCUUUGGAACCAAAUACCAUUUUCUUUGGGAUUUCCAUAUAUACCCUUUUAGGAUAAUUUUCCACCUUUGCGCUAAGAGAUGUUUGCCUUGAUGCUAAACACUUAAUUCUUUAUUUUCAGCCAUACCAUAUAUAGUGGUAUGAUGCAGGUACCCCCCUACAUAUUGGUUCAUGCUACAUUUCCUCUUAGGUUUCAAAUACCAUUUCUCUUAUGGAUUCCAAUAUACCCUUACUUUUGGUUCCAAAUCAUACCUUUAGUGACUUUUACCAAACCCUUCAUUUCUUUGACUUUGGUUGCUUUUAUCUAUUCUUCCAUUCAACUCCAUGAUUCCUCUAAUCACUACAUUCAUUCAUACCUACUACCUUCAUUCACUUCAUGUGAUAUACCUCAUUCUUUGAGCCAAAUACACUAUUUAUUUAAGCUCAAUUCGGUGUUUUCUUGUGAGCCAAGAGAUGUUUUCCUUGAUGCAAAACACUUAAUUCUCUUUGUUUUCGGUCGUACAGUAUAUAAUGGUAUGAUGCCCAUGGCCCCCCACAUAUCGAUUAAUGCCAGUUUUCCUCUUGGGUUCAGAUUUCAUCCCUUUUUGGAGUCAAACCAUAUUAUCCUUUGGUUCAGACCAUAUUUUUUUCACAACUUAUUUUUACCUCCCACCAUUAGUUUCUAUGAACUAUGAAGCUCUGAAGUCCUUAUUGCACUAUAAGGAUACGUAGGCAUGAGAGCUCCAAUCCUCUUAGAGCACUAUAUCUAUUUCUUUUCUUUUCCCCUUAUUCUUUUGCAAGUAACCUUUUGAUAUAACACCCAUCAAAGCAAGAACAAUCAAAAUGAUUCCCGUUGAGUAUAACGAAUGUGAGGGGUGCUAAUACAUUCCCCUUGCAUAACCAACUUUCUUACUCAGUUAUCUCUUUCCCCGGGGUUUUAUCGAUGUUUUCCAUUUCCUUUGGGAAUAAAUAAAGUUCGAUGACGACUCUGUUAGAUGUUCGAACGUGCGAUGCGUUCGGGUAUAUUUCCUAUAGAGAAGGUAUUUAACUCAUAUAGGAGGUGAUUAACAAAGAGAAGGUGAUUAGACUCAAGAGUGUAUGGGUGUCCAAAGAGUUUUAUGUUUGGUCCAAAGAGAAAGGUAUUGUGGAUGUUAAUUGUUAAAGUGUUUUCAGUGGGGAAGAAAGUUUGAAAGUUGUUUGAUUUGAAUUGCACUAAAGUCUAUGAACGAAGGUGAAUAAUCUGAAUAACUAGGGCAUAUGUCCCGUAUCCAAAGGUAUUUCAAACAAGGGUAGAAAAUAUCCAUCCCAUUCUUCUCCAUUGCUUAAGGCUUGUGUGCACAAUUUACAUCAUAACUAACAGGUGCUUUGAAAGAGAAGAGUAAUUUUGUUUAUUUUAAAAAUGAUAAGGUAAUGUGUGAAGCUCAACAUGACCAUGUCUUGAUGCUCUCUUAUCUCUAGGGUCUUGAAUGUGGAUCUUUACUUGAGAUUGGCUAGUUGGAUCCAGUACAAUGCAAGUACAAAGGUCUAACUCAAUCAAGUGAUCAAGGGACUUAUGAUCACUUUAUUAAAUAAUGGGAGCAUACAAAUUGUUCAUGAAAAGUCUAAGACAAGUUUAAUCACAAAGUGUAAUUAAUUGAUCAAAAUGAAAUUGAUCAACUAAUCCACUAAUAAGGGAUCAUGGUGAGAAUCAUUCAAUGGAAACAUGAAAAAGAUACUGACAUUAAAGAUUUAUAUUAAUCAAUGUUAAUCCUAAUUUCUAAUUAAUAAUUAAAAUGAAAUUAAAAGAAACUAGCAAUUAAUCUCAAUUAAAAAAUUAAUCCUAAUCAAAACCUAGUCUAAACAUUAUACUAUUUUUAUAGUGUAUUUUUAAGUAUUUUAAUGUGUGACAAAAAGAAUAAAAGAAAAUGAAAAACAUUAAUAAUCAAUAAUCAAAUUCAACUCUGCAAGGCUAUGUGAAUUUGGAUCAGGGUGUGCAAUUAGGAAAGGCACGUUGGGCCCAUGCAGUAAAGGCCCAUGGUAGUUCUUUGCUUGCAUUCAAAAUGGUGGGGGUGAAUAAGCAAAGUGGAUGUACUGCUUAGAAAAACCUCCCUUCCUUCCUCUUCACAUCUUCACAUCCAAACCUCCCUUCCUCUCUCAUAACUCUCAUCCUUGUCAUAAUUUGCUCUACCGCGCCGGAGGCGGCAUAUCAAGGCUAAUUAGUACCAAAACGCCACCAAAAGACUCACCUAUUCGUCUUCUCUCUAUUUCUCACCAUCGUUUCCUAUUUCAUCCACGAAACCCAAACGAAAUCCAUUCUCACAGUAAACCCCAGAUCUAAGCAAAAUAUGAAUUAAAUUCCAUACAAGCUAUGGUUCAUGCAAUUACAUGAGGGUUGUGGUUCUACGCAACAAGCACAACACAAUGGCAAGGAGAAAGGUGCACACAGAAGAAGAAAAGGAUAACUUAUGAGCUUAUCUGCAGGAGUAGCUCUGAAGGCCCUUCGAAUUUGGUGUUGACUCACAAGAAAACCAGAGAUUGGCUUAGAAACCCAGGUAAAAUCUUCAUAAUUAUAAUCUUUUCCUUUUAGAGUAAUCUUCUUCUUCCUCUUCUUCCAAGUAGUCUAUAGGGAAUGGUUGAAAUUGUUGUGUUGUUAUUGCUGAUGAGUGUAGAGAGUGUAGAGAGAGAGAGAGUGUAGAGAGUGUAGAGUGUAGAGAGUGUAGAGAGUGUAUAGAGAGAGAGAGAGAGAGAGAGAGAGAGAGAGAGAUAUUAUGUUAAUUUUAGUAGGUUGGGAUUAAAGUGUAGUGAACAACUUUGUUAAUUGUAAAUUGGAAAUUUGAAAAUGGAUGUUAUGGCUUGUUUGCUAAUGAUAGUUUGUUUGUUUGUUGACAAUGGAUAUUCCUGCCGAGUCCUUAGAACAUGCAUUGUGUGUGUUCAUUGAAUUUUAUGACUUGGUUGACCAUGUAAUGGCUUGUUUGCUAAUGAUAGUUUGUUUGUUUGUUGACAAUGGAUAUUCCUGCCGAGUCCUUAGAACAUGCAUUGUGUGUGUUCAUUGAAUUUUAUGACUUGGUUGACCAUGUAUUAUGUUUAUAUUUGUGAAUAUCAUGGAAUAUUGGAUGUAUGUAUAUUGCUAUGAGUUUGUGUAGGUAUGUUAUGGAUAUACUUGGUAUGAAACAUAAUUGAAUGCAUGUUGACAAUUCCUAUUGCUGCAGGGUUGUUGUAUGCUUGGUUGGCCAUAACACAAUGGUGAUUUAGCAAGGGACUAUCAAGGUUGGAAAGGCAUGAUGACACCAUGGAUCAUGAAGGAGUUUUGGAUAAAUUGAAUACUUGUAGGACCAUAGAUGAAAGACCUUGAGGAUGAAAAGAAAAGUAGUUUGACUUUGGUCAACUGUUUGAUCAAAAAGUCAACAGUUGAUCAAAAGUAACUCUAGGUCCUAAAUGACUUUUUUGUAUAAUUUUGUUACUCUCCCUCUUGGAAUGCAAUUUUAUGAUUUUGUAAUGAAAAAUGCCCCUUUUGAAUGUAAUGUGUGCCUUGUAUUCCAAGCUAUAUACCUUUCCCUCCAAAAUUUGAAUUUGAAAUGAUCUUGAAUGCUUGAAUAAAAUUGAACUCUU